rnacentral:rRNA from 1 species
AUUGAACGCUGGCGGCAUGCCUUACGCAUGCAAGUCGAACGGCAGCACGGGAGCAAUCCUGGUGGCGAGUGGCGAACGGGUGAGUAAUAUAUCGGAACGUGCCCAGUCGUGGGGGAUAACGCAGCGAAAGCUGUGCUAAUACCGCAUACGAUCUACGGAUGAAAGCGGGGGAUCGCAAGACCUCGCGCGAUUGGAGCGGCCGAUAUCAGAUUAGGUAGUUGGGGGGGUAAAGGCUCACGAAGGCGACGAUCAGUAGCUGGUCUGAGAGGACGACCAGCCACACUGGAACGGGGACACGGUCCAGACUCCUACGGGAGGCAGCAGUGGGGAAUUUUGGACAAUGGGCGAAAGCCUGAUUCAGCCAUUCCGCGUGAGUGAAGAAGGCCUUCGGGUUGUAAAGCUCUUUCGCAAGGGAAGAAAACUUAAGCUCUAACAUAGCUUGAGGUUGACGGUACCUUGAUAAGAAGCACCGGCUAACUACGUGCCAGCCGCCGCAGUAA